rnacentral:rRNA from 1 species
AUUGAACGCUGGCGGCAUGCUUUACACAUGCAAGUCGGACGAGUGGCGAACGUGUGAGUAAAGCAUCGGAACGUACCGAGUAAAGGGGGAUAACUGUCCGAAAGGACAGCUAAUACCGCAUAUUAUUAGAGCGGCCGAUGUCUGAUUAGGUGGUGGGCGGGGGAAAGGCCCACCAAGGCGACGAUCAGGAGCGGGGCUGAGAGGAUGAUCCGCCCCACUGGGACUGGGGCACGGCCCAAACGCCUACGGGAGGCAGCAGGGGGGAAUUUUGGACAAUGGGCGCAAGCCUGAUCCAGCCAUGCCGCGUUUCUGAAGAAGGCCUUCGGGUUGUAAAGCUCUGUUAAUCGGGACGCGGUACCGGAAUAGAAAGCCACGGCUAACUACGUGCCAGCAGCCGCGGUAAUUC